AGAAAAAUGGUACGAUAUUGUUCGGUUAUUGGUUGUAAAUCAAACAACAGUUUCAAAAACCUUACAUUUCAUAGUGUACCAGACGGAUUCAAGGACCUUUGGACAAGUGAAGUGUUCAAUAAAAUGUUAAAUUAAAGUUAAUAAAGUUUUGUUUUCUA